CGGCGGCGCCACCGUUCGACGACGGGAGCGCGCGCGGCUCCCCCGAAAGCGCGUCGCCGGUGUGUGUGCCGCGCUGCGAAUUUUAUUGUUUGUUUUUGCAAAAGUUCUUGCGGCAUUAAAGGGAAAAAAAGACGAAGGAGACGCGAGAUCUAUAGGAGGAAUGCACGGUCGGAAGGAAGAGCGCGGAAACUGGGACAGCCUGUGAACCAAGGACGGUGCAUAGUAAACAAGAGUAAUUGCGUCAGUGCUCGAGGAAUGGAUGAUCAAAGGAAAGGAGUAGACCUCUAUUUCUGCCUGCCACGGAUAUUAGCAUCAUACACCAGGCGGCCGGUGGCCCGUCAGGGGGGUUGAAAUUCGGUUAGGGCACGCCGAUCCCUCGUGAGCCAUCGGAUCGCGACCCAGAAGAGAGAGGGAGAGGCGUGGCCUCGCGAAUCGGCCGACGGUCGGUCGCAUUCUGUGCAGACUCCUAUGCGGGCUCCAGAGGAACGACGCGAAAACCGUGAUGCUCCCCUCCGUCCGUCCGUCCGUCCGUCCGGCGUUCCCGCCGCUUACCGGUGUCGUCGUGGUGUACAUACGCUCCUCCCUGGUCCUCGUCGCCGUCGCAAAAACGCGCCCCUGCCUCACGUUGCUCCUGCCAGCGGGAAGCGGCCUGGGGGUUGGCGGGAAAGCCGGGCGAGGGGGGAUGGGGUAGGACGCGUCAUAAAAACCCAUCUUCCCUCGUGCCCCUUUUCCUCCCGCCACCUUAGCCUCAGCACCGUUCAACCCCUAGUAGUAGGUACGUACACCACGCCACCCCUCUCUCUCUCUCUCUCUCUUUCUCUUUCUCUUCUUUUUUCUCGGUCUCUUUGCCUGCCGAGGAACCGACAUUUUUGCAGGGUGGUACCCGAAACCUCGUCGACACGGGGUUCCCUGUAAAAUUCACGUCCUAUCCAGAAUCUUUGGUCCCCGCUCUCCUCGUCCGCUCCCUCAUGCGUGCACGUACUGGCGUUUGAACGUUACAGGGCGGCGCGAAGGGUGAGGAAACCCGCCAUGACAACUGUUUACCGGCGUGAUUUGAUAACGCGAGCGUCGAAGGAGGUAGAGAUCGCAAGAAUAAUUCUCGCGCCGUGGUGCGCCGGCAGAUGGAUGAGCAAGAUCGGAGCAAAUAAAAUCAAAGUGAAGAAUGGACAAGCCGUGAUGGAAAACAUGAGGUCCCGUCAGCUUCACGGAGCAAAGACCACGUGAAAUUAAAUCGAGCAUCGACCUGAUUUUAUCGUUUACUAUCACUCUCGCAGUUCAACUCGCCGCUUUAUCUUCGGCCAAAAAGGGAGUCGGAAAUUAUUAACUGUUUGAUGUCAAAUCUGGUAGUCGCGGAGUAUUUUCGUGUGAGAAUGCUCUCUACAAACAAAUUUUUAAAUAGCCAGCACUUGUUACGAUGAAGUAACGAGGUAUUUAAUUAAACGUAGAGUCGACGAGACACAGCCGCCGCACAGUCGUCGUCGCCUCGCGAGCGACCGUAAAUUUUCGAAAUCUCGCGUCUCCUCGCGGAAUCUCAGUUUCUUUCCCGGCGCUUCUCUCUUCUCUCCCCCUGCUCAUCCCUUUCUUUUCGUUCACCCACCCCCCGUUCGUCGCCUCUCGCCACCACGGGCUGCUCUUUUUCCUCCUUCGCCGACAUCGCUACGAUUCUUUUUGCCGCCCCCAGUCCGCCGCCACCCCGUGCUCCUGUCGUUCUUAUUUUUGCCCCCGACCCUCCUUCUCCGCCCGCCCGCUCAUCCCGACUGCGCUUUCUCCCCCGCUGCCCCUCCCUCCCGCCCCCACUCCCACAGCCUUUUUCCGGACCGGUAGGAAAAGCGCGAGAGACUUUUAUUUUCGCACGUAGAAAAAGCAAGGCGGAAAGGGAGGUUUUGCCAGCAGACCGUUACUGCGAGGCGGACGUUUUUUGCGACAGCUCCGUAAUCCGUGAAAGGGUGAGAGAGCGCCGGUAGAAACCAAAGGCGCCGCGGCGCUCGCUCGUUCGCUCGCUCACUCGCUCAUUCGCAAUUUGCAUAGAGCGAGCGAUCCGGACGCGCUCAUGAGACGCCGAUCGCACCAGUACAAGGUAGACGGAUCGGUUAAAACGCAUCGUCGGCUGCGAUUUGUUCUCUUGGUUAAAUAAAACUGUCCCUUUAUUAUGCGUCUGUGUAUAUCUCCGUAGUAUCUUGCUUCUUUAAUCAUGGGCUGCGUUCGGCAGAGAAAGCUGCUCUACGACCGCUGUAAAAUUCGUGAAUCUGGGAUUGACUCUUAGAUUCAGCCAAGAUCAAGAUUUAGCUUCACACAACUUCAACUGAAAUUUAACUCGUUGCAUAUGCGUAAGGAAAUCAAUCAAUCAUCCGUGCGAUAAAAAGAUCCCUCUUGAGUUAGAUACAUUUUAUAUUAGAUUAGUCAAUUUCUCUCUUUGUGCAUAUGAGCAAUGCGACUGUGCAAGUUUGUGACUUGAAUGAGUUAAGCUCCGGUUAAAGUAAGUUGUGGAACUGGGUCUAAGGAUACCAGUCAGGCUCACGAAUUUUACAACAGUUGCAAGGCAGAUUUCUCUGCUAAACGCAGUCAUUCACUGCAAAAGAACCGAAAGAUACUAUUUGGAAGCUUAAUAUUGUUCGUAACGACUGUUUUAGAAAACAAUGCGCGACAAUUAUAACAGAGGAUUCAACGUUGUUAUUAAAAAUUAGACCUCAAGACGUAUCUCUACGUUGCACAAGAAGAAACGGAAGAGGAGCUCGCGUACAGAACGGGCUUAACGAGGGUACGGCGGCUCCUUCUAGCUGGAAAUAUGCAAAUUCACGGAGGAGCCUGAGAAACACUUGGAAAAGGGGUCGCGCGCGCGAUGGACAAUUUUUUGACCAGGCCGUUCUUAAUGCCGGUGGCAGAAAAACCGACGAAAAAACCGAGGGAUCGGGCAACCGAGACGCCCUUCGACUUGACGCAACUCGUCGAAGAUCGAAUGUAGAAGAAUAUAGAAGAAGCAUCGAGAAAUCGAGAAUAUUCGGGAGUCAUCUUUAUCACUCUCUUUCUCUCUCUUAUUACGUUUCUUUUAUUUAACAUGCGAUAUAUAACGGAAUUGUAAUUACAGAUUAUAUCACAUAUACCGGUACCAUAUCUCAUUCUGCGGAAAGACGUAUUAGAAGACGAUACUUGAACGGAAAUGGCAAGUACACGAUUAAACGACAGGUGUUACUCAAUGCCUCGGUAAGUAAUAAGUACACAUUUACGUGCGAAAUCUCGUGCAAAAUCUGGGCAUGAUAGAGUUUCCUCGAGACACAUAAGACGGGCGUGUAUGUGUGUGUCAACUACAAGUAUAUUAAAUUACCUAUCUAGCACAUACACACAAAAUUACUAUAAAAAUAUAAGUUAUCGAAAUGUAAAAAAGUAGCUUAUGUAACUCUUACACCGCGAUAAGUGUUCAAUGGAGGUAAUCGAUACAAAUGUAAAAGCAAAUGCAAGUUUGUGCCAUUAUUAUCAGCGUGAGACGUUGUCCACGUCUCUACAUUAGUCUCUACGGUGCUCUUCAACGCAGAAGAGAACAAUUGCAUCUUACAUUCCCGAAAAAUAAGCGUAAGAAUUCUAUCUACCUAUCAACAGUAGAUAACUGCAUACGCAGAAACCUCGCGAAAUAUCGCGUGUUCUCGUAUUACAUGUGAGUAAAAAUAGAACCGGAUGUACGUUGAAUCAGCACACUAUUGUUAAUAUAGCUGCAACUUCAUUAUUCGGUAUCUUGACUGUCAUUCUCGAGAUCAUCCAUAGAUCUUUCAUGAAUUCUUCCUUUCGAGAUUUUCUCUUCACACAAAUAAAGAGAAUAAAGAGAGAAUAAAAUUUAUUGUCACAAAAUCCAGUAAAUAUGCGUGAAAGGUUUUACUUCUCUAUCUCCCUUAUGCUUUAUAUAAAAUCAUAAUCGAUAUAUAAUAUCGAUUAUAAUUAUAAUUGAACGAUUACAAUCAAAUGUCGUUUCGUAGCGAGACAGCACCAGCAAUCAUGAGGUGGAAAUAUCAAUCUUGGUUGAGUUUCUUAUAAUUGAUCUCAAUAUCAAGAGGAAAGAUCGAGGCUUAACCUUUCAUGCAAAUUCACUAAAAAUCCUAAUAAAAAAAAAUACGAAAAAUUGAAACAUAAAAUAUAAUAAAAAAAAGAACACAUCAGACGAAUAAUUCUUGAAUUACGCAAAUCGUCAAUAACAGACGCCAACUCGACUCAUGUUACGAUUAUUUAGCAUCGAUUUUUAGCACAAAAGCUUUCUAGGAACUCGUAGGCGCUCUAUUCUUAAAUCUACUUUGUAAUUUUGGGAGCGUUACGUCCAAUCACGCGCGUGGGUUCAUUUACGAGUAAUGGUAAAAUCUUUAGUAUAUGUAAUACUUUCUCGCGCGUUUUCACCGAUCUCUCUUGAACAAACAUGUAUUCACGUUAUGUUAAUCUCUCUUUUCGUUUGUUUGCAGAGUGCGAUUCGCAGAAAAUGCGACUGAUAGGGAAGUGCGGAUAUCCGCGAGUUUUCCAAGUCACGAUUUUAAGACGCUCUUUACAUCUAGAAACGUCAAUUUCUGACUCCGACAAAACACAGAAUCCCAAAAUAGAGAUUCUUGAAAAACGAAUUUGAAUGGCUCGACAAUGAUCUAUCCAUAAUAACCUUCGAUUAUUAACAACUAUAAAUAAAAACGAAAGCUGGGAAGCAUCGACGAUGUGUGGAACGAAAGCAAAUAAUUGCGGAAGGAUUUCGAGCGAUUAGAGACGACUAACGAAGCGUCACGGGCUUCGAGAAAUGUUCGGAUAUUUGUAAACAAUCGUAUUACAACCAAACAUACGCAAACCGCGCAUCCCUAGCAAUCUUGAUUUAGCGUUACAUUCGAUAUCACGAGAAUAUAUGUGUGUGUGUAUAAAGAGACGCCUUAUUAUUUUUUUCUCGGAUAUUCUAAUGGAAGCAUCGUGUGGGCAGUGUGAGGGAGUUUGUUCAUACACAACCGUAUUCGUACCAUAUCGGACUUCCAGUCUUUGGCUCUUUGUCGGCGGGCGGUUCCGUGAGCGCUUCAUCUUGCGCUGUGUCUUUCAUCGGGGUCCCAGCUACGUUCUUGGACUCGUUUAUGACUGCCGACACUUUGUUAUAGAUUAGAAAGGGACGCGACUCAACCUGCGUUUCCGAUUUUAAAUUCGGCUCUAUCUGCGCGUCGUCUCCUUGCUCCGGGUAAGAUUCACCCAGCAGUCUGUCCGCCUAAGUUUCAUAAAUUUCCUUGCUAAAUACAGUGCUCUUCGCGGUACGAUUGAUUUAUUGUCAGGCAUUUCUUACCGGCAAAGAAGCGGACGACGGCGGAGAAUCGUCAGUGUAGUAUACGGUUCUUCUGGUCCCGGCCUGUCCGAGCGCGUCUGACUCGAGCAUUCUGCUCGGACCUAAGAACAUUAUGCAAAAACAGAUCACAUACUGUUGACAUGGACUGACGAGUCAAGUUCGAUUGUUUUAAUGAAUAAUUUACCAGGUAAACGGUAAUCGUCGGUACUCGCAUCCGAGUCGUUCCCGGCUGUAUCCGAUUCGUAUGUCUUACAGUCCGACUGCUUGGAAUCUUCGGCCCACGAGCGUCGAUUCUAAUGAGAAUGUUUUGUAUUUUUUAUUCAACAAUAUUAUAGCUGGUGAAAUAUAUACUGUAUAAGUGUAUAAUAGUAAUAAUAUAAGUAAAAUCGACAGACGAGACGUAUGUAGAUGUGCAAAAGAUAUAUCAUGUAACGUAAAUAAAGUAUACAAAGACAA